GGCAAGAUGGCCGAGCGGUCUAAGGCGUUGGCUUCAGGUGCCAAUCAACAUUCGUUGGCGUGGGUUCGAAUCCCACUCUUGUCA
rfam:Pyrenochaeta sp. DS3sAY3a unplaced genomic scaffold IQ07scaffold_21, whole genome shotgun sequence.